UUUUUUUAGCACUUUGUCAAAAGCAGGCUCCGAAUUCGCCCUUAGAGUUUGAUCAUGGCUCAGAUUGAACGCUGGCGGCAUGCCUUACACAUGCAAGUCGAACGGCAGCGCGGGAUUCCUUGUUAUCCUGACUGCCAAAGGGGUAAGUAAUACUACGGAACGUGCCCCUUCCCGGUCGAUAACGAUAACAACUGUCACACUGUUGCCACUUCCGCCCUCACCCUGAAAGCGAAAGAUUCUUACCAUCCUCCCUACCUUGAAUGGAUCCACCCACUGAUUAAUUAGCUGGUUGGGGAAAUGACUACUCACCCAACCAUCUAUCUCUAGCCUGACAGAAAGAACCACCACCCUCGCUGUAACUCACACCCCGUACUCACUCCUACGGCAGGCAUGAGUAAUUAUUAUUGCUGAGUGCGACAAACCUCCAUCCAUCCCUGCCGAGUGAAUAAAGACUGCCUUCUGGUUAUCUCUUUCUUUCGGUCAGAAAUAAGGGAAUCAAACUUAUACUCUGUAUCACUGACCCUACCUACAAAACACCCACCAACUACCUCCCUGCCACCACCCUAAUACAUACGGAGCGAGCGUUCAUCAAUACUUACUGACUGUACAUCAAGCGCACGCAGUUUUGUGAAACAGAUAUAUAAUCCACCCCCUUACUCUGCCAGCUAACUGUGUUACUAACUGGCUAAAUAAAGUCUUGAAGAGGGGGAAUUACUGCCGGAGCAUCGAAUUACAUGCAUAUAGAUCUGAACGACUAUCGGUGGCGAAGCCCCCUGCCUCUAGAACGACUGCUCACUGCACGAGAGCAAGCGGAGCAAACAAAAUAAAUACAUUCGCUGUUC
rnacentral:rRNA from 1 species